UCGGAUAUGGUGUAAUGGUUAACAUUACCGCCUCUCAUCAAUUGGAAUCUUUGGUUCGCGGUAGCUCGGGGUUCGAUUCCCCGUAUCCGAA